GGGAGCAUCCUUCCUUCCUUGCCUCUUUCAUCUUCUGGUAGUUCAAGGGUAGGGUGGAGCUGAGCACAGAGGGGAAGCUGAAGAAGAUUUGAACAAGGAGACUUGGCAGGGACACAUGGUGCAGAGAGUCAUGGGAAUGAAGGAAGGUCCGUGGAGCUGGGCAGAAAGAACAGCAUGAGCAAAGGCACGACGGCAGAGAACACGGCGUUUGCAGAGUUUGACAAGGCUGAAACAAAGGUUAGAUGGAGGAGCAGCAGGCGCAGAGACUUGAAGAGGAAGGUGGGCCA